rfam:Trachymyrmex zeteki contig4181, whole genome shotgun sequence.
GCCUCGGUAAUCUAAUGGCUUAGGACGCUCGUACGGAAUACAACAGAUCCGGGUUCGAUUCCCGGCCGAGGUA